GCUACCGUCUGAUGCCCCUCCCGCAGCAUCACUAGCCUAAGUCUGUUGUUCGUUUGGCACGGCAACUGAGAUCUCAUCUCAUGCCCCUAUGGCAGGACCACCGGCCCGGACCGUCGGUCCGACUCUCCUCUGACGAAUCUCCAGGUCGGCCACGACCACUGGUCUGCCUCCAACGACUCUUUGAGAUUGUGUUGGGCCGCAGUCUCCUUCGGCUCUGGCCGCUGGUCGCUCAUCUCUGACGGUUCUGAAGGUGGAUGUGGUCAAGUGGAUUUCUUGAUGGAUUGACACUUUGAACUAUCUAGUUGGCUUUACUUGUAACUAUAUCUAGCUCAAAUAACCCUCGUGGAUUUGUAUGGUGAUUUCACGGAUUAUGCAAUGAUGCUAGUGACUAUACAGUCUCAGCCAUGGCGUGAACUGGAUCCAACACCUGCAGCUAUGGUUAGCAACAACUUUGUCUCCCUCUAGCUAUGACCUUCCAUGGCAAUGGAUAUUUUUUUGGGAAGCUGAGUUUCUGCAACUAUGAAAUUUUGGACUACAGGGACGUUUUCUGUCAUGUCAGGUCAGGUCAGGUAUUCUAUUUUGCAAUAUUUCUUUUAUUUGCUGCGAUUGUUUCUUACUAAAAAUGAUCACACCAACCAUGCAUCACCCAAUUAGAUGGUGGAAUCGAUACAUUUUCUUUCUCCUUCCUCUGGUAGCAUUACUUCCUAUUUACUCUUCGGACUUCAACUCCUUUCUCCUCUCGAUCUGGUUAGUAACCGAAGGCAUCAUAAUUUCUUACCAGUUUUGCAAUUAAUCUACAUUUACCACCAAGAGGCAAUUAAAGUUAUCUUUUGAUCUCUUCAUUCCUGUCCAUUCACAUUCUUCCACACAGGCACCACCGACGACCGAUAUAUUAUCCCUCUUCAAUUGACAUUCUAACACCUCCUUUGAUCUUCUAGCAGCUCCUUUCGAACCAUAUUGUCCUCUCUUGCAUCCAUGAAGUUGCACCUAACUUGACAUGCUUAGGAGUUUUACCUGCAACUAUCUUGCCCCGUUGGAUAUAGUUAUCCAUUAGGAUCUUCUCCACGACCAGCCACACUAUCCUUUUGAAGUCGUCGGGAUUCCUGGUGAGCCCAUCCUUAUCUUUAAGUUUUAGGUGCUAAUUGGUCUUGAUGUCCUGACAUGGUUCCAAUAAUGAUUUCCAUGUCAUAAUAUGAUUGGAAAUGAGUAUGGCGUACUAAAUUGAUCUCUUCCAUCUCCACGUUGUUUUCACUGUAUUCUAAUGUGCAUACACCUCUCCAUACAUGUGGAUAUCCAAUCUCAACACAAUAAGUGCAAGAAAAAGUUGUACCCUUCAAGUACCACGUAUGCUACACUUCCCUCAAUGGUAGGCUCAGCCUUUUGCUUUUGUUUUUGUUGUAUAGUUGAUGUGUAACCUUUGUAGAUGCUGAGAGGAAGAUGAGCAAAGCGAUGCAAUAUUGGAAGUACCAUCCCUAUUUUUCAUUUAUAGCACCCAUAGGCAUGAUCUCCUUUUUCAUGGUUUAUUUGACUAUGUGUUCGAAGGUGAUUCAAAUUUACACUAUGUUCUUUCAUCAGAAUUCAAUUAUAGGUUAGGGAAGCGUAUAUUAAUGGUUGUGCUUGCUAUUUUGUGCAGUCUACACAUGAAAAAGAAAGUGGUUUUUUUAUUAGUAAUAAUAUACUCUUUACUAUUUUUUGAUGAAAAUGGCAGGACCAUUGCCAACGCAUAUAAAGAGAAGGAAGACUUGCGUAGAAUAAAGGCAACACUUAUGAAGAAGUUUUUGUGGUAAAUUUCUUGAAUUAUCCUUCCAUCGACAUGGAGAAGGGCGUCGUAGAGCCGGUGUUAACUUGUAAUAGUAAUAUCUCUGAUGCUAGGCAGAACUCCAAGGAAGAUAGUGAGUCAAACCCAUUGAUGGUACCUAUCAAUUAUAUUGUAGCGAAGAAGGCAAAACAUCUUGAAGAUAGCGAGACAAGCCCAAAUUCAUGUCUUGAAGACAAUAAGUUAAAGCUACUCGCCAGUAGCUAUGACACAACCUCGGUGAAGUUGCCGCCUGAAUUCGUUCAAUGUCUUCAGUCUCAACUUCAAUCUAAAAGACAUUGUUCAGCUCAGCUCUGACUCGAAGUCCAAUAUCUAAGGAAGAUCACAGAGAAAUCUAGUGCAUGCCUUGUUGCUGAGUGGCUUGAGCUAGAGGAUAUAAGAUGCAAAUAAGGGCGGGAUAAACAACUUGCUCAACUGCAUGUGGAGCAGCAUCAGGGCUAGGCUAACCUUUCUUAAGUUGUGUUAAAGUGCUCUCGGUUCUGUAUAUUGUUUCUUUGGCGUGUUUAUGUGGACUGGUGGCUACCUUUGAUGCCCAGCAUAUGUAAUAUGUUGUUUGGUUGCACUUUAUUAUCACUGGUGGCAAACUUUGAUGCCCAGAGGAUGUAAAUGUCGUAAUUUCUUUA